rnacentral:rRNA from 1 species
AGAAUCAACGCUGGCGGCGUGCCUAACACAUGCAAGUCGAACGCGAAAGCCCCGAAAGGGGCAAGUAGAGUGGCAAACGGGUGAGUAACACGUGGGUGACCUGCCUUCGAGCGGGGGAUAACGUCCCGAAAGGGACGCUAAUACCGCAUAACAUCCUGCCUUUGAAGAGGUGGAGAUCAAAGCUGGGGAUCGCAAGACCCGGCACUUGAAGAGGGGCCCGCGUCUGAUUAGCUAGUUGGUGGGUAACGCCUACCAAGGCAACGAUCAGUA